CCUACGGGAGGCAGCAGUGGGGAAUCUUGCGCAAUGGGCGAAAGCCUGACGCAGCAACGCCGCGUGCGGGAAGAAGGCUUUCGGGCUGUAAACCGCUUUCAGCAGGAACGAAAAUGACGGUACCUGCAGAAGAAGGAGCGGCCAACUAUGUGCCAGCAGCCGCGGUGAUACAUAGGCUUCAAGCGUUGUCCGGAUUUAUUGGGCGUAAAGAGUUCGUAGGCGGUCGAGUAAGUCGGGUGUGAAAAUUCUGGGCUCAACCCAGAGACGCCACCCGAUACUGCUUAACUUGAGUUCGAUAGGGGAGUGGGGAAUUCCUAGUGUAGCGGUGAAAUGCGCAGAUAUUAGGAGGAACACCGGUGGCGAAGGCGCCACUCUGGAUCGAUACUGACGCUGAGGAACGAAAGCAUGGGUAGCAAACAGGAUUAGAUACCCUGGUAGUCCAUGCCGUAAACGGUGGGCACUAGGUGUGGGAUUCUAUUAACGAAUUCCGCGCCGUCGCUAACGCAUUAAGUGCCCCGCCUGGGGAGUACGGUCGCAAGCUAAAACUCAAAGAUAGUGACGNGNGAGAGCGACGACGACGACGAGAGGAGAG
rnacentral:rRNA from 1 species